rnacentral:rRNA from 1 species
UACGUAGGGGGCAAGCGUUGUCCGGAUUAUUGGGCGUAAAGAGCGUGUAGGCGGCCUGAAAGGUCAGCUGUGAAAACUCGAGGCUCAACCUCGAGACGUCGGUUGAAACCAUCUGGCUAGAGUCCGGAAGAGGAGUGUGGAAUUCCCGGUGUAGCGGUGAAAUGCGUAGAUAUCUGGAGGAACACCGGUGGCGAAGGCGGCAUUCUGGACUGCAACUGACACUGAACGACGAAAGCCAGGGGAGCAAACGGG